ACAAAAUAAAUUUAUGUACGCUAAAAUGGAACAAUAUAGAGAAGAUUAGCAUGGCCUCUGGACAGACAUGACACGCCAACUCGUGAAGAGUUCCAGAUUUUU
rnacentral:snRNA from 1 species